UACAGAGGUCCCGAGCGUUGUUCGGAUUCACUGGGCGUAAAGGGUGCGUAGGUGGUGAGGUAAGUCGGGGGUGAAAUCCUGGGGCUCAACCUCAGAAUUGCCUCCGAUACUGGCAGUCUCGAGUGCGGGAGAGGUGAGUGGAAUUCCCAGUGUAGAGGUGAAAUUCGUAGAUAUUGGGAAGAACACCAGUGGCGAAGGCGGCUCACUGGCCCGUAACUGACGCUGAGGUGCGAAAGCGUGGGGAGCAAACAGG
rnacentral:rRNA from 1 species